rnacentral:rRNA from 1 species
UAUACCGUGAAACUGCGAAUGGCUCAUUAAAUCAGUUAUCGUUUAUUUGAUAGUACCUUACUACUUGGAUAACCGUGGUAAUUCUAGAGCUAAUACAUGCUAAAAACCCCAACUUCGGGAGGGGUGUAUUUAUUAGAUAAAAAACCAAUGCCCUUCGGGGCUCUUUGGUGAUUCAUGAUAACUUAACGGAUCGCAUGGCCUUGCGCCGGCGACGGUUCAUUCAAAUUUCUGCCCUAUCAACUUUCGAUGGUAAGGUAUUGGCUUACCAUGGUUUCAACGGGUAACGGGGAAUUAGGGUUCUAUUCCGGAGAGGGAGCCUGAGAAACGGCUACCACAUCCAAGGAAGGCAGCAGGCGCGCAAAUUACCCAAUCCCGACUCGGGGAGGUAGUGACAAUAAAUACUGAUACAGGGCUCUUUUGGGUCUUGUAAUCGGAAUGAGUACAAUUUAAACCCCUUAACGAGGAACAAUUGGAGGGCAAGUCUGGUGCCAGCAGCCGCGGUAAUUCCAGCUCCAAUAGCGUAUAUUAAAGUUGUUGCAGUUAAAAAGCUCGUAGUUGAACCUUGGGCCUGGCUGGCCGGUCCGCCUCACCGCGUGUACUGGUCCGGCCGGGCCUUUCCUUCUGGAGAGCCGCAUGCCCUUUACUGGGUGUGUCGGGGAACCAGGACUUUUACUUUGAAAAAAUUAGAGUGUUCAAAGCAGGCCUUUGCUCGAAUACGUUAGCAUGGAAUAAUAGAAUAGGACGUGCGGUCCUAUUUUGUUGGUUUCUAGGACCGCCGUAAUGAUUAAUAGGGAUAGUCGGGGGCAUCAGUAUUCAAUUGUCAGAGGUGAAAUUCUUGGAUUUAUUGAAGACUAACUACUGCGAAAGCAUUUGCCAAGGAUGUUUUCAUUAAUCAGUGAACGAAAGUUAGGGGAUCGAAGACGAUCAGAUACCGUCGUAGUCUUAACCGUAAACUAUGCCGACUAGGGAUCGGGCGAUGUUUCUAUCUUGACUCGCUCGGCACCUUACGAGAAAUCAUAAG